rnacentral:hammerhead_ribozyme from 1 species
AUCCAGUUGACGAGUCCUAAAUAGGACGAAAUGCGCACCCUGGAU